UACAGAGGUCUCGAGCGUUAGGCGGAAUCACUGGGCUUAAAGCGUGUGUAGGCGGAUCGUUAAGUGCCUUGUGAAAUCCCACGGCUCAACCGUGGAACUGCUUAGCAUACUGGCGGUCUUGAGCAACCUAGGGGCGAGCGGAACAAAUGGUGGAGCGGUGAAAUGCGUAGAUAUCAUUUGGAACGCCAAUGGUGAAAACAGCUCGCUGGGGGUUUGCUGACGCUGAGACACGAAAGCCAGGGGAGCAAACGGG
rnacentral:rRNA from 1 species